AUUCUUUAUGGCCUUGCUGUGAUUUGCUCCUUCUACCGGAUCCCUAUGGGUCACUGAGUAGGUGCUGGGCCACUCAAGGGGCUGUGGGAAGACUGAUGAGAGGCAUUGCUCAGCCUCUCAGAGCAAAGUGGAGCUACAGGCAUGGCCAUAGGCAAGCAUGCUGUCCCCAGCCACUAAGGGACAGAGCAGCAAGCCUCAGACAGACCUGAGAAGAGGGGGCAUGAUGGGCUGAAUCGUGACCCCCAAAAGAUGUUGAAGCCCUAAUCUCCAGUACCUGUGAAUAAGAUCUUGUUUGGAAAUAGUCUUUGCAAAUGAUCAAUUUAAGAUAAGACCAUUAGGGUGGGAUCUAAUCCAAUAUUACCACUAUCCUUACAAAAAGAGGAAAUUUGGACACAGAGCCAGACACAUGGAGGGAAGAUGAUUUCAAGACAUAGGAAGAAGAUGACCACCUUCAAGCCAAGGAAUGCCCAAGGCUACCAGAAGCCAGAAAAGAGGCCAGGAACAGAUUCUUCUUCAUUGCUGUCAGAAGGAACCAACCCUGCUAGCACCUUGAUCUUGGACUUCCAGCCUCAGAAAAGAGGCCAGGAACAGAUUCUUCUUCAUUGCUGUCAGAAGGAACCAACCCUGCUAGCACCUUGAUCUUGGACUUCCAGCCUCAGAAAAGAGGCCAGGAACAGAUUCUUCUUCAUUGCUGUCAGAAGGAACCAACCCUGCUAGCACCUUGAUCUUGGACUUCCAGCCUCAGAACUGUGUGACAAUGAAUGUCCAUUAUCUGAGACACUCUCUCAGUGUCCUUUGUCACAGCAACCCCAGGGAACUCAUACAGGAGGCAAGUGGCUUCCCCCACCAUAGCUCUGUGGUCUCCUGGGUGGGACCUGCUGUGUUGCUCUCAGAGGCUGCUUAAAAACAGCUGGCCCUGGGCCACUCUGCUGGGGCUCCUGCUUGAAGGAAGGACAGAACUUCAGGGAAUUUCCUGGAAUGUUUGCUAAAAUGAAGACUCCCAGAGGCCUCCACAGAUCUACAGAAUAAGAAUCUCUCAUGAUGGGACUCAGAAAUCUCCAAUCAAUCAUCCACCCUCCUCCUCCCUACCCCAGGAUACUGAUGCAGACAGCCUGGCCACCCCUUUUGGAGAAACACGAUUGCAGAUGACUGAUUAAAUUGUAUGGCUUUACCUCUCUUAUAUAUGCAUUUUGGGAAGCAAUACAAUUUCUGCAGGUUAAAGCCAAAGGAAUGAUGAUCUAGCUGUGAAAUGUUAGACUUCGUUGAGUUGGGUGGUGGAGACACCUCCUCAACUAGCUCUUCAGCCUAGGCUGGGCUCGUUCCUCCAGUAAAUGAAAUCUAGAAGAAAUUUCCCAUCAUGUGCAGAAAUACGAACUACACACAGCAGAUUUUCAACUUCUACAAGAAGAUGGCAGAAGACAUGAACAAUGAAUUGGAAAGAAUCACUUCCUUUUACCAAAAGGAGAUUCUCUUCUAUGAGGAAGAGCUCAAGAAAGCUGGGCAGCAGUUCUGCUGACUGAGAUAAAGCUCCAUGAGCUAAAACAACAAAAUGAUGGCAACAGGCAAAUCAUGGCUGAUGUGGAGUUCAAGUUCCAGCCUUUCCCAAGCAGCCCCUUUGCUCCUGCUGCUCCAGGCGCAGCUCACAGAGGAGUGGAAGUACUAGGGGCCCCCUGGGUCAUCAGGUUCCCAGCAAGGAAGAGGCAGGUGCUGUGAGGCUCAGGGAUCCAGGGGUACCUGCAGGUUUCACUCAGAGUUUAUGAUUUGUUUGUUUUCGUCCUUAAAAGUAAUUUUCAUUUAUCUUCUAGUUAAGCUACUGUUAUUUAAUUGAUGUGCAAUUUCUCUUUCUGAAGUUUUAUAGUACUAUAAUUUCUAAAAUUGUAUUUUUAAAUAUACAUUUAUUUAAAAUAGCUCUUAUGAAUACAUUAUUUCAAAAUCAUUGGACCCUCUAAAAUUAUAUGCAUAAGUAUUAUAUUUUGAUUUAAAUAACAGGUCCACUAUGAUUUAAACUGUCAUCAAAAUUGGACAUGAAUAGAAACAUGGAAAACAAUAAAGUUCACUUCUGUAAGCUAUUAUUA
rnacentral:lncRNA from 1 species